rnacentral:sRNA from 12 species
CGCCUAAACCUUAUAAUUCUAUAAGGCAUGGCACAAAAACUCGGUAAGAGAUAUUAAGCUCGUCGUCAGAGCAACUCUUACCGAGUCAUAAUCCGAAAGGGUUAUGGGUAGCCGAAAGGUUAUC